AAGAGAGCCCCUUGCCCCUUCUGUCAUGUGAGAUUACAGAGAAAAGGUGGCUGUCUGGGGAGCAGGCCCUCAGCAGAUGCAGAAAUGUGCCAGCACCGUGAUCUUGGACUUCCCAGCCUCCAGAACUGUGGUGUUUUAUUCCAGAAGAAAGUUGUUUCUUUUUAAGUCGAGGCCAGCAAGCAUUGAUAACAAUUCCUGUGGAAGGUUUCAUCUCCCUCCUGAGGCAUUGCGAAGCUGUCUCAGCGUACAGGUUCCAAGUGGACAAAGGAAGAUCCAGGAGAUGAAGUGGAUGUCAGGGACAAGAGCUGCAACUGAGACACCGACCAAGCCCCAGGCUGCUGAACCAUCACGUUCCUGGGAGGAGAAAUUAGAGUUCAAAUCUCAAAUGACUUUUGUAGAGUUGACUUAGAAGCCCUUAGCUGGAGGGCAGGAGAAGUGUAAGUGACCGAAGGCCCAGCUGCUGUGCUCUGAAAUCCAUCAUGACAUUUGCACCAAGGCCGUGCUUCCUGGGGUGCUCUCAGUCACUGACCAAGUAUGGCAUGGAUGCUAAGGCCAGGCUGUUCCUGGGAGAUGCAGGACUCCUCUGGAUUCUGACCUCCCAGCAUCUUCGUCUGCUGUUGGUGGAACACCAUCUGCCGCGAAUGUAGCUGUCUCUCCACUAGAUAGUCUUUCACCUUUUGAAGCCUAGACAGGUUUCCAUCCAGCUCAACUCAAAUCAAGCUCUCCAAGUAGUCCCUUUGAAGCCACUGCCACUGGAUGGAGCAGCAGGAGAAAGGACUUGCUGUCCUCUGUCCUCCAGCUGCCCAGGACUUCUGCUGAAGACAGGGCAGAGCUACAACAGCCGGAGUGACUCUGGGAAACCCUCUCUGUACUCCAAGCAAGGAUGGUCCAGACUCCAGUGAGGAUGCCUUGGACAUGUGGGUGGGGCCGUCCUCAUGGGUAUGUGACCUGUGUAGUUGUAUAGAGCCUGUGUUCAGAAGAGACCCAUGCUUGGUCUAAUUCUCUGCUGUUACUGUCUUUAAAUUUUUAAUAAUGUUAUCUUUGAAUCUGUUCUUUGUACAUGAAAUGUGAUGGGACAAUGGAGCAUGCACAUGAACAGAGGAGAUACACGCAAUAUUCCUGUCUCCCACUCUCUGAUGCCUCUUUGCAUAUAGAAUUUGUGAUGUCCCCUGAACACAGAAUUUUGGUGGACUCACGAUGUGUGGGAAUUCAGAGACACUCAAAGUGAGUACAAGGAAGCAUGUUAUGUCUACGAUUGAGUGGGUGGGGGCACUGAGUGCCCCGAGAGGUCAUACCUUCCAGUCAAACCAGAACUUGCUUUGAAUGUAGAAAGAAGGCAAUGACAUUCUAAGAAACGCUAAUGACCAAGGGACUCCAUCCUAUUGUGGUCGGCAGAAUAACAGCCCCCAAAGAUGUCCACACCCCAAUCCUUGGAUCCUGUGAAUACGUUGCCUGACACGGCAAAAGCGACUUUGCAGAUGUGAUUAAGGCUAAGGUCUUAAGAUAGGGAGGUUACCCUGGAUGAUCUGAGUGAGUCCUUAAUCACAUGAGCCCUUAAAAGCAGAGAACUUUCUCCAACUGGAGUUGGAGAGGUGCAGUAGAAGUCAGAGGGAUUCAAAGCGAGAAGGAUUUGACCUACUAUGUCUAGCUUUGAAUAUGGAAGAAUAUGAACCAAGGAAUGCUGGGAACCGAGAAUGACGUAUGGCUGAAGGUAAGCAAGAAAUUGCGGGCCUCAGUCCUAUAAGGACGUAGAACUGAAUUCUUCCAGCUAUCUGAACAGUCUUGGAAGCAGAGCAUCCUCAGAGCCUGGAGAAAGGAACACAGCAUUGCUGACAUCUUUUUUGAGGAAGAUUAGCCCUGAGCUAACUACUGCAAUCCUCUUCUUUUUCCUGAGGAAGCCUGGCCCUGAGCUAACAUC